rnacentral:tRNA from 3 species
GCGGGCGUGGUGAAAUUGGUAAACACAAGGGACUUAAAAUCCCUCGGCCUCACGGCUUUGCCGGUUCAAGUCCGGCCGCCCGCACCA